CUAUUUCUUAUGUGUUGAAGUGUGUUUUGUCACCCAGAAUGUGCUCUAUCUUGGUGAGUGUUUCAUGUGAGCUUGAGAAGAAUGUGUAUUCUGCUGUUGCUGGAUGAAGUAGUCUA